GGGUCCAGAGGAGGCCACAAAGAUGCUCAGAGGGCCGCAGCACCUCCCCUAAAAAGACAGGCUGAGGGAGCUGGGCUUGUUGAGCCUGGAGAAGAGAAGGCUGUGGGGUGACCUCAGUGCAGCCUUCCAGGACCUAAAGGGAGCCUACAAACAGGAGGGGAGGCAACUCUUUGAGAGGGGAGAUAAGAGCAGGACAAGGGGAAAUGGUGUGAAGUUGAAGGAGGGCAGAUUGAGGUUGGAUGUGAGGGGGAAGUUGUUGACAGAGAGAGUGGGGAGGUGCUGGAACAGCUGCCCAGAGAGGCUGUGGAUGCCCCGUCC
rnacentral:lncRNA from 1 species